rnacentral:tRNA from 1 species
CGGGAUGUAGCGCAGCUUGGUAGCGCAUCGCUUUCGGGAAGCGGGGGUCGUAGGUUCAAAUCCUAUCAUCCCGA